CUCGCCGCGCCCAGCCCGGCUUCGCCACCAGCCCAGCCCCGAGGGAAGCCCGCGCAGGCGCACCACGCCCCUGGCCUCGCGGGCCUGGCUGCAGCCCACUUGCGCACGCGCACCGCGCCCUCAGGCUCCCGCUGACUGCGGCGGAGUUCCGGCCAGCGCACGCGAACUGCGCCGCAGGUCCUGGAGCGGGGAGUGCAGAGCCUUUGCACCUCGCUCCGUUUCAGCGUCUGCAGCCGCGCAAAUCUUUAUUUUUCACUUCGCAUUCGAUGCCUCGUCCCCUAGGGCAGGAAAGGGAAAUCGCCGAUGCGAGCUGAGUCCCGGGGCGCGCGGGCCGCGUAGACACGGCGGAGCGGACUCUGCACCCUGUGGCCCGGCGCCUUCUAGCUGGAGACGGGCUCUAAGCGUUUCCGGUGCAGCUCCGCGACCCCAGUCGGGGAGCAGAGAGGCAGAGCGCGGAGGAGGGCUUCAACCUCAGCCAUCCAAGUCUUUACAGCCACCCAAGCCAGGGAAGAAUAAAAGACGCCCCUGGUAUCCUACCAGCCUGGGGCACAGUCUGAAUACCAGUUUCUUGAGUAAUUGAGCAGCCUUUCCCAAAACGGACAAGGCCUCUGCAGAAAGGGAAACAGAACAGCUUAGGCAGGACCCUUGCCUGUGAGAACAACCAUUGCUGUCAAGUAUCUUGGACUAGGGGGAGGGAGAAGGGAGUCAGUUGGACCCCAACAGGCUUGUUUCUUCCCCAGAUAGAGAAAGUGACAGCCUGAAGCACUACACGGGACUUUCUUUUUUUCUUACCUUGUGGAUUAAACCCAGGACCUUGCACUGAGCUGCCUCCCCAGCCCUUUGUUCACAGUUAUUUUGAGACAGGGUCUUGCUAACUUGCUAAGUUGCCCAGGUUGGGCUCUAACUUGGCAUCCUCCUGUCUCAGCCUCGCAGAGUGCUGUGAUUACAGGCGUGCACCACCAUCCUGGCUACCUGGGACAUCUUUGAUUCCCCCUCUGUGAAGAAGGCCGUUCUCCCUCAGUGCCCAGCUCCCAGGGCAGCAUGUAUCUUGCAUGUGGGACCCCUUGGCAUCUGGCAUGGGAGGAAGGACAGGGUGGCAGGAUGGCAAUGCCACGUUAGCCUUAGGAGAUUGGAACUGAGCAGCAAAAGCUCUGGCUCAGGGAGCCAGGGGGCGAGGCCCUGUGGGCGCCCCACUGGUCAGGCAGGG
rnacentral:lncRNA from 1 species